UACGUAGGGACCAAGCGUUGUUCGGAUUUACUGGGCGUAAAGGGCGCGUAGGCGGCGCGGUAAGUCACUUGUGAAAUCUCUGAGCUUAACUCAGAACGGCCAAGUGAUACUGCAGUGCUAGAGUGUGGAAGGGGCAAUCGGAAUUCUUGGUGUAGCGGUGAAAUGCGUAGAUAUCAAGAGGAACACCUGCGGCGAAGGCGGGUUGCUGGGCUGACACUGACGCUGAGGCGCGAAAGCUAGGGGAGCGAACGGG
rnacentral:rRNA from 1 species